rnacentral:rRNA from 1 species
CCGGUGAUAUAUAUUUAACGGCCGCGGUACCCUGACCGUGCAAAGGUAGCAUAAUCAUUUGCCUUUUAAUUGAAGGCUGGAAUGAAUGGUUUGACGAAAACAAAACUGUCUCCUAUUUGUUAUUUAAAAAUUAAUUUUGAUGUGAAGAAGCAUUAAUAUCUCUAAAAGACAAGAAGACCCUAUUGAGCUUAAAUGAUUAUUAAAGACAGGAGUAUGAAUACAAAAAACUGUUUUUUGAGAGUUAUUUUAGUUGGGGCGACUGAGGAACAAAAUAGCUUCCUUUAAAUUUAUGAAAGAGUGAUGGGUAUAGAUCCAGUAUUACUGAUUAGAAGAAUUAGUUACCAUAGGGAUAACAGCGUAAUCUUUUUUGAGAGUUCAUAUCGAAAAAAAGGCUUGCGACCUCGAUGUUGGAUUAAGAUUUCCGGUUGGUGUAGAA